GAUGAACGCUGGCGGCGUGCCUAAUACAUGCAAGUCGAGCGAAUGGAUUAAGAGCUUGCUCUUAUGAAGUUAGCGGCGGACGGGUGAGUAACACGUGGGUAACCUGCCCAUAAGACUGGGAUAACUCCGGGAAACCGGGGCUAAUACCGGAUAACAUUUUGAACCGCAUGGUUCGAAAUUGAAAGGCGGCUUCGGCUGUCACUUAUGGAUGGACCCGCGUCGCAUUAGCUGGUUGGUGAGGUAACGGCUCACCAAGGCAACGAUGCGUAGCCGACCUGAGAGGGUGAUCGGCCACACUGGGACUGAAACACGGCCCAGACUCCUACGGGAGGCAGCAGUAGGGAAUCUUCCGCAAUGGACGAAAGUCUGACGGAGCAACGCCGCGUGAGUGAUGAAGGCUUUCGGGUCGUAAAACUCUGUUGUUAGGGAAGAACAAGUGCUAGUUGAAUAAGCUGGCACCUUGACGGUACCUAACCAGAAAGCCACGGCUAACUACGUGCCAGCAGCCGCGGUAA
rnacentral:rRNA from 1 species